CCCGCCGGCGCCGCCGCCGCCGCCGAUGGUGUUUGAGGACAUCUGGCUCGCCGUCGGCCUGCACCCGUCGGCCGGCCAUUUGGUAGGGAUCCCGAUGCUCGCCAUCCACCACUACGAGUUCAAGCCGGAGUGCUUCGCGGCGGGCCGGCAUCCGGCAUUGCAACCGUUCGCGUCGGGCCCGCGCAACUGCGUCGGCCAGGUGCACGCGCUCGUCGAGGCCAAGAUGGUGCUCGCCAUGAUGCUGCAGCACUUCCGCCUCUCCCUCCCUGGCUCCCUCCCAGUGCCGGCAGUGCGGCAGAUAAGAAGGUGGGCUUAAUUAUGGGUAUCUUAAAGUUAUAGAGGCGCUUGCUUCGAGACAGAAUUGUGAGGAUGGAGAAGUUGCAGACUGUACUGCUGCCCGAAUUGGAUUUUUUUAUUUGGAUUGGUCACUGGAACUGCCGAACUGGAAAUGUAGCUGCGGCGUGCAGUGUGUGUCAAAUUCUACCAUUCUCGAACUCUUUUUUAUGUGUGUAUUUGCUAGUGUGUAUGGGGUGCAUCUACUUGUUUGCAUAUAAGUUAUGUAUAGU